GACGAACGCUGGCGGCGUGCUUAACACAUGCAAGUCGAACGGAAAGGCCCUGCUUUUGUGGGGUGCUCGAGUGGCGAACGGGUGAGUAACACGUGAGUAACCUGCCCUUGACUUUGGGAUAACUUCAGGAAACUGGGGCUAAUACCGGAUAGGAGCUCCUGCUGCAUGGUGGGGGUUGGAUAGUUUCGGCGGUUGGGGAUGGACUCGCGGCUUAUCAGCUUGUUGGUAGGGUAGUGGCUUACCAAGGCUUUGACGGGUAGCCGGCCUGAGAGGGUGACCGGCCACAUUGGGACUGAGGUACGGCCCAGACUCCUACGGGAGGCAGCAGUGGGGAAUAUUGCACAAUGGGCGGAAGCCUGAUGCAGCAACGCCGCGUGCGGGAUGACGGCCUUCGGGUUGUAAACCGCUUUCGCCUGUGACGAAGCGUGAGUGACGGUAAUGGGUAAAGAAGCACCGGCUAACUACGUG
rnacentral:rRNA from 1 species